rnacentral:rRNA from 1 species
CGAACCGUGCAAACGUUAUUCGGAAUCACUGGGCAUAAAGGGCGCGUAGGCGGCUCGAAAAGUCAGGGGUGAAAUCCGGCAGCUUAACUGUCGCAGUGCCUUUGAUACUGUCGAGCUCGAGGGAGGUAGGGGUCUGUGGAACUUCCGGUGGAGCGGUGAAAUGCGUUGAUAUCGGAAGGAACGCCGGUGGCGAAAGCGACGGACUGGAUCUCUUCUGACGCUGAGGCGCGAAAGCUAGGGGAGCAAACGGGAUU